GAGUAUUCCACGAAGUGGGCGGAGAGGCUUUAUAAAAUCUGACAGUAGCUACCGUCACUGAAUUGAAAAAUACCGACCCCGGUUUUGUCACGAAUAGAUUGGAAUUGCUGAAUUCCUUUGUUAGCCGAGGCAGGGCUGGGCGCCGCGAAUGUUUUCUGAGCCGUGUGAGCCCGCCAUCUUUAUCCGGGGCCAACUGGAAGCGGAGAGUGCGCUUGUCCUUUACUUGUUGGGAACGGGGCGAGGGGAAGGCGAGCAGGAUUUACGAACAGCAACUUCAAACCAAGAGAAAUGCUUUUCUUUUUCUGUUCUGAAUCUCUGUCCUGGAUUGAUCGUGAUGGAUUUUACACUCUUACAGAUCAAUGUCAGCAGAGGAAUUUGGCAGACUUGAACCUCAGAAAGAGUGAAAGAGUAACUCGAUUGAUGAGUAUCUGAAUGUUAUCAGCAUCUGAAUGUGGUAGCUUUCAGGAAGUUGGAGCAUUUGCAGUCAGUGAACUCAAAUCUCGCUGCAGAUUCUAACGAAAUGUUGAAUUCAUCAUGUCUUGAAUAUCAUCAGGCUUUGAUCAUGGAAGCCAAAACCAGUGUUCACACUGAGAAACCAUGGAAACGUGAGGACUGUGAGAAGGAAUUCAAAUAUCCAUCUUCCCUGGAAAGUCAUCAGUGUGGUCACACUGGAGAGAGACCGUUCACCAGCCCUGACUGUGGAAAGGGAUUCAUUUGAUCAUCCAGUCUGCUGACACACCAGCAAGUUCAUAUAAGAGAGAGGCAGUUCAUCUCCUCUGAGUGUGCGAAAGGAUUCACUCACUCAUCCCAUCUGCUGACUCACCGGCACGUUCACACUGGGGAGAGACCUUUAAAAUAUCCACACUCUAGGAAUUGCGAGAAAAGUUCGAGAGAACUAAUAUCUCACAUUAGUGAGAAACCAUUCAGGUGCUCUCACUGUGCGACUCGGUUCAAGCGAUCAUCUAAACUCCCAAUACACCAGCACAUUCACACUGGGGAGAGACCGUUCAUCUAUUCCAUAUGUAGGAAGUGUUUCAUUCACUCAUCUGACCUGGUGAAACACCAGAAAGUUCAUUCUAAUGAGAGACCUUUUUCAAUGUUCAGACUGCAGGAAAUGCUGUAAAUGUUCUGGAGAACUGAUGUCCCAUCAACAUGUUCACACUGUUGAGAGCCCAAUAAGAUACUCUCAUGAUGGGACUGGGUACAGAUGAAUAUGUAACCUCGCUGUACACCAAUGCAUCCACACAGGGGAGAUACCGUUCACUUGCUUCAUGUGCAGGAAGAGAUUCGUCAGAUCAUUGUACCUGCUGAAACACGAGCAAGUUCAUUCUGACCAGAGAAUGUGGGAAAUGGUAUAAAGAUUCUGAACAAUUAGCCUCCAUGAACUUGCUCACAUUAUUGAAAUAACUUUGAAUGUUCAGAUUGCAGAAAAUGCUUUAAAAGUCCUCAACAAUUGAUGAUCCAUCAAUGUGUUGACACAGGUGAGAGACCGUUCCAGUGCUUUCACUUUCAAACUGGGUUCAGGUGAUCAUUUCACCUCAUUGUAUGCCAGUGAUGUUCAGACUGGAGGGAGGUCGUUCGCCUGCAUUGAAUGUGGGAAGGGAUUCACUCAAACACCCGACAACCCCCCCUGCUGCCCCCCCCCCCAAAAAAAACAUGAGUGAAUUCACAAAUAACCACAGUGGUUGCAUUUUGCUAUUAAUUAUGUUCGGUAAUGAACACAUUUCAUUGUUGUCUGUUUCUACUGAUGUUAAAUUGACUUUCCUGAAAAUAUAGGUUUUUAUUUUCUGAGUAAAAGGCAAAUAAAUUAGCUUUGUAUUUAACACAAAACUUACACUUUGUUUUCAAAUGUCCCAAGCACAAGUUAGUUUCUUUUGGCCUUCUUAACGAGAGGAUUCAGAUUCAGGAGCAGGAACGUCCUUCUGUGAUUCCACAGGUCUCAGUGAGCCCAUAGCUGGAUUCUUGUGUGCAAUUUUGGUCUCAUUAUUCUUGUGGAAGAAUGCUUUGGCUGUGAAGGGAGUACAAUGAAGGUUGACCAGAAUGAUUCCUGGGAUGACAGGACUGACAUGUGAAGAAAGACUGGAUCAGUUAGGACUAUAUUCACUCGAGUUCAGAAGAGUGGUCUUUCAUAGAAACAAAAGAAUUCUGACAGGGCUACACAGGAUAAACAGAGGAAGGCUGUUCUCAAUAAACAGGGUGUCCAGAACCAUGACUUUUAGGAUAUGGGCAUACAUGGGAGCAUAAAGAUGGGAUCCUAGUGUCUCUUUAACCUGUCAUCGACAAGCUAUUUAGGACUGAGAUAAGAAGAAAUUUCCUCACCUCUGGAAUUAUCUGCCACAGAAAGCACCUGAAGCCAAAACAUUGAAUGUAUUUAAGAAGGAUUUGGAUAUAAUCCUUGGGGUGAAAGGGAUCAGAGUAUGGAGAGAAAGCAGGAACAGAUGGAUGAUCAGCCAUGAUCGUGUUAAAUGUUGGAGCAGGUUUGAAUGACCAAACGGCCGACCACUAUUUUCUUUGUCAAUGGUUAUUAUUUUCACAAAUACUUUUUCUCUUCUGAUCAAUAUUAUGGUUCUUUCCUCCCCUUUUGUGCUGCUGAACUACUUAAUUUUUUUGUAAUGUUGUAAGUGUUCCCUACUGUGAAGAUUGAUUAAAAUUAUUUGUUUAACUCCC